CCUACGGGAGGCAGCAGUGAGGAAUAUUGGUCAAUGGUCGGGAGACUGAACCAGCCAAGCCGCGUGAGGGAUGAAGGUCCAGAGUAUCGUAAACCUCUUUUGUCAGGGAACAAACGCGGAGUCGCGUCCCCGGAUGCGUGUACCUGAAGAAAAAGCAUCGGCUAACUCCGUGCCAGCAGCCGCGCUAAUCAGGAGGAUGCGUGAGUUAUCCUGAUUUGUUGGGUUGCAAGUUUGGGAAGCGGGUAUGAUAAGUCAGCGGGAAAAGCCCGGCGCGAAACCCCGGCCCGCCGUUGAAACUGGAAGGCUCGAGUUGGAGAGAGGGAUGCGGAAUGCGCGGUGUAGCGGUGAAAUGCAUAGAUAUCGCGAAGAACGCCGAUUGCGAAGGCAGCAUGCCGGAUCCACACUGACGCUGAGGCACGAAAGCGUGGGUAUCGAACAGGAUUAGAUACCCUUGUAGUC
rnacentral:rRNA from 1 species